CACGUAGUUAGCCGGAGCCUAUUCCUCAGGUACCGUCAAAUUCCUCCUUCUUCCCUGAUAAAAGAACUUUACAUUACGAAUAACUUCUUCGUUCACGCGGCGUUGCUCGGUCAGGGUUCCCCCCAUUGCCGAAAAUUCCCUACUGCUGCCUCCCGUAGGAGUAUGGACCGUUCUCAGUUCCAUUGUGGCCGUUCAACCUCUCAGUCCGGCUACGCAUCAUCGCCUUGGUAGGCCCUUACCCCACCAACUAGCUAAUGCGCCACAGGCCCCUCCUUAAGCAGAUCUCUCUUUUAAAUAUAAAAGAUUCUUCCUCUAUAUCCUAUCCAGUUUUAUCCAUCGUUUCCAAUGGCUAUCCUGUCUUAAGGGUAGGUUACCUAUGUAUUACUCACCCGUUCGCCACUAAAGUACCCGAAGGUACUUCCGUUCGACUUGCAUGUAUUAGGCACGCCGCAGCGUUAUCUGAGCAGAUACAAACUCU
rnacentral:rRNA from 1 species